rnacentral:rRNA from 1 species
AAGCGAAGAUCUAGUGGCGAACGGGUGCGUAACACGUGAGGAACCUGCCCCGGACUUGGGAAUAACAGUCGGAAACGGCUGCUAAUACCGAAUACCUUCGCAGCGUCGCAUGGCGCAACGAAGAAAGCUUUUGCGGUCUGGGAGGGCCUCGCGGCCUAUCAGCUAGUUGGCGAGGUAAUGGCUCACCAAGGCAUCGACGAGUAGCUGGUCUGAGAGGAUGAUCAGCCACACUGGGACUGAGACACGGCCCAGACUCCUACGGGAGGCAGCAGUGGGGAAUAUUGCACAAUGGGCGAAAGCCUGAUGCAGCAACGCCGCGUGCGGGAAGAAGGCCUUAGGGUUGUAAACCGCUUUCAGCAGGGAAGAAACUGACGGUACCUGCAGAAGAAGGUGCGGCCAACUACGUGCCAGCAGCCGCGGUGACACGUAGGCACCAAGCGUUG